CCAAGAAACACUCUGAAAAUGAAAAGGGUGGAAGAGUAAACUGUUCCUGUUUCUCCAUCUUGACAGGAAGCAGAAGUUCUCCUUAGCUGAUUUUUCUUCUUGCCUUAUACUGGGUUCUUUAACACCAGAACAAAAAUAAAUAAAUAAAAGAAUCUUCCAGAAAUUCAUGAAGAGACUUCAGGUCAGGAAAGCCUGAACUUUCUCAUCCAACACCCGUUCAAGUCGGAGGAUGCUGAUUAAUUCAUGAUGGAAAGGUAUCAAUUUCACAGCCCAGACCUCUACAUUCUUGAAAUGCUCUUCUCAUGGGAGACAUUAAAUAAGCUUUGAAUUAACUUUCACUCCUAAACCCAUUGUGAUUUGAUUCUUCACCUAUUACACUCUGUGCCAUGACACCCAGGAUGCAGCUGUAGGAACACCACUGGGUCCCUGGAUGUCAUGUAAGCCCUUAAGUAAAAGUGCCAUCAAAUGAUUUCUCAGAAAUUAUAAAGAAACAAAAGGACCAUAAACAAGAUAAGGUGGCAUGAGGAAACAUUACAAGUACCUUUCAGAGCUGACUGGCAAAGAAACUCCUGAGGUGACGGUUCUACCCCAAUAUUACUUCUUCGAAGAGCAACCUAACUGGACUUAUCUUCCUCAGUUCUCUGUGAUGAACUUUUGUAGAGCCAUACGAAAGGAGGUUUUUAGCUCUCACCUGUGGUCUUUCUUCAUCAUGCACCUCCUAGAUUCAAAAGUUCAGCAGGGACAUGUCAAGCUAUAUAAAUAAAAACAAACUAAGAAAAAAUGUAACAUUCCAUACCUUAAAACGCAACCUU
rnacentral:lncRNA from 10 species